AUACGUAGGGUGCGAGCGUUAAUCGGAAUUACUGGGCGUAAAGCGUGCGCAGGCGGUUUUGCAAGACAGAGGUGAAAUCCCCGGGCUCAACCUGGGAACGGCCUUUGUGACUACAAGGCUAGAGGACGGCAGAGGGGGAUGGAAUUCCGGGUGUAGCAGUGAGAUGCGUAGAUAUGGGGAGGAAAACCGAUGGCGAAGGCGAUCCGCGGGGCCUUUACUGACGCUCAUGCGCGAAAGCGUGGGGAGCAAACAGGAUUAGAUACCCUGGUAGUCCACGCCCUAAACGAUGUCAACUGGUUGUUGGGUCGUCAUGGACUCAGUAACGAAGCUAACGCGUGAAGUUGCCCGCCUGGGGAGUACGGCCGCAAGGUUGAAACUUAAAGGAAUUGACGGGG
rnacentral:rRNA from 1 species